AAGUGUUGAACUUAUGAUCCAUAUGAGGGAAGAUCUACAUGAUAUAUGAUAUUUUAUGGUUAGAUCUUGCCAUUUUUAGGGUUGAUAAGCUUGAACAAAGAAGAUGAACCAAAACAGUUUUUUUGUUUUAAAUGAAUUAAUGAACUGCUGCUCUAAAUAGAAAAUUUCGGAUUUGUUAAGGUGCUCUAAAAAUUCUGGACUUGUGAUAUGUUAUAGUACACUCAAUAAGCUUUCCAUAGACUCCGAAACGGACUAAAUCCGAUAUCGGAGGAGCAAGUUAUGGGAUUUUUACCAAACUACACAAAGUUAAGAAAACUGUGAAAAGGACAGUUUUGGAGCAGUCACUUCCGGGCUAAAUUCCGGGAGCUAAACAUAUCCAAAUAUGGGUUGUGAUAUAUAAAAACUAUAGUUCGGAAAGAUACGAAUCCAAAAAAAUUGACGGAUCAUUAAUCGGAGUUACAGAUUUCGUUUUAUUUAAGUUUU
rnacentral:lncRNA from 1 species